UAUUUAUUAGAUAAAAAACCAAUGCCCUUCGGGGCUCCUUGGUGAAUCAUAAUAACUUAACGAAUCGCAUGGCCUUGCGCCGGCGAUGGUUCAUUCAAAUUUCUGCCCUAUCAACUUUCGAUGGUAGGAUAGUGGCCUACCAUGGUAUCAACGGGUAACGGGGAAUUAGGGUUCGACUCCGGAGAGGGAGCCUGAGAAACGGCUACCACAUCCAAGGAAGGCAGCAGGCGCGCAAAUUACCCAAUCCCGACACGGGGAGGUAGCGACAAUAAAUACUGAUACAGGGCUCUUUUGGGUCUUGUAGUUGGAAUGAGUACAAUUUAAAUCCCUUAACGAGGAACAAUUGGAGGGCAAGUCUGGUGCCAGCAGCCGCGGUAAUUCCAGCUCCAAUAGCGUAUAUUAAAGUUGUUGCAGUUAAAAAGCUCGUAGUUGAACCUUGGGCCUGGCUGGCCGGUCCGCCUCACCGCGUGUACUGGUCCGGCCGGGCCUUUCCUUCUGGGGAACCUCAUGCCCUUCACUGGGCGUGUUGGGGAACCAGGACUUUUACUUUGAAAAAAUUAGAGUGUUCAAAGCAGG
rnacentral:rRNA from 1 species